CUUUCUGCUGACCUGAGCCAGUAAAUUAUCUCACGGUGAAUUCCUUCUUAUUUAUCCUGUUGAGAUUCUUGGACUCUUGGAAUGAGAAGGUUCGAAGUCAAGAUGCCCUGACACAGCCAGGUAAACAGCAUUGCCAGAAAGGUGACACCUAAGUGGGCUUAAGAACAUACAGACGGACCAGAGCGUAAACCACCUGCCACAGUGAGGAAAUGUUGCCAAAGUCAAGUUCACUGGGAUACUUUUCGAAUCACGGACUCAACUUCUGAGCUCUUCUGUUCCCCUUAAGCGCCACUUUCCGUACUACCUCGCAGGGAUUUAAUGAGUGCAUUUUCUGAGGAUUCUUUUUUUUUUU